rnacentral:lncRNA from 1 species
CAAGCAGAGCACCCUUCAGGGAUAAUGCAGACAAUCAUUUGUGCAAUAGCCCUUCCUGGUAGCACGAGUCGUUUAAAAAAUGGCUAUCUAGUAACUCAAUUUUGCAAAUGGCCUCAAUUUGAUCCAGAUAAUCUAUACUUUAUUAAAUCCUGGAGUACAUGUCCCAUCACAUGCUGCACCAAUUAAGCGGAAGUCAAACCCAGUUUUCCCUUAUCACCUCUUUAUG